GCCUUCGUAGCUCAGCUGGUUAGAGCGUGGGUCUAAUAAACCCAAGGUCGUGAGUUCGAUCCUCAUCGAGGGUA
rfam:Thalassiosira oceanica strain CCMP1005 To_g44815, whole genome shotgun sequence.